UCGGCUCCGGUUCACGUGCGCGAGCACGACCCGGCGGCC
ncrna:unclassified sequences L31-Actinobacteria ribosomal protein leader